GUCUCAACUAUAAUUGGGUAUUUCGAUAAUGAACUGACGGAAUUUCCGGAAUUAAUUGGUCUUUGGGCCAAAUACAUUUUUUACUUCUUUUACUUCUAAAAAGUUAGCGUAUUAACGUACUAAUUUGAAUGCAAGAAAGACACUUGUUGACCCCUUUACAAUACUAAGAAUGGGUUUGGACUUUGGAUCGCUGUCCCAAAGUAAGUUGUAAUUACAGUCCCAGAGUAUUUAUUAACACUUAAGAAACAAAUAUUACGAGUACUGAAAAAGAAAAUAUUACGAGUACAAAUAUAAAUGAGUUUGAGUUGUGGGUUGUUGUAAUUUGGUUGCAACUUUGAUACCUUCUUGGUUAAUUUUGUGAGACUAAUCGGAGUGAACUUUAAUCAAGCUAAAUAUAAACCGAGUUAAAGUAAUUUGAUUUUUUUAAUUAUACUUCUUCGGUUUCAUUUUAUUAGUCAAUCUUUCCAAUUUAAAAUUUUACGAAAGUGCAAUGAUAUACUUACGAAAAGUUCAGUAAAAUGAAAUUCCACAAGUACAAUGUAGUAGUAUCAUUAUAAUUAAUAAAAAUAUAUCCAAGACCUUUUGUUUAGGCGAAGUCAAGGGGGCUUGUAUCAACAGGGACAUAUUUUUCACCCAUCAACUGAAGCCAUAGCUACCCGUCCCAAACCAGACUCAGCUCUGUUUGGUUUCAAUUCGGGGGUUGGUUUGGGUUAUCUGAAAUAUAUUAUUGAAGAAAAUUUGUCCAAUGAAUUACAUUAUUUAACUCUUAAAUGUCUUUCCAGAUACUUAAAAAAUUGGGGGCACAGUUUAAUACACACAUUUAUUUUUUGAUACAGAAUAAAUUUUUAUACUGAAACUGUUAACCCAAUUAUGUGGGUUUAAAUUCUGAAUCAAAAUAUUUCAGUAUUUGAUUUAGAAUUGAAAACAGUACUUUAUGGUGCUAAUUAAUUAGAGGAGGCUCACAAAGUCUUGGUCUAGUCUAUAAAAAGACAUCUCUUGCAUAAGUUUCUAAAACAGAAAAAUAGAGCAAUAUUGCAAGAAAAAUAGAGAGAUUUUUUCAUUUGCAUCAGAGUCUGGAGGAAAUGUUACUAGUUCGCUAGAUUUCCAGUUUGGAGUGUUGCUUAUAAUAAGCAAUAAUCGAUUGUAUUAUGAGAAUCAAACGCUAGCCACCAUAAGCCCCGAUAACGAGACAUUAUAGGUUUAAAAACACUCAAUCUUAAUACAGGGCUCCGAUAUUUUCUGAUAUAAUUUAUGUAAUUUUUUUUCCUUGAGUACUGUAUUAUGUUUUGUUUAUGUAUUAUGUAUUAUGUCUGUUUAUAUAAUACCAACUGUUUAUUUAGAUUUCUCAAUUCAUAAAUAAUCUGUUCAUUGUUGUCAAUCCACCGGUCUGAUACCUCGACAUUUAUGCAAACCACUAUCUCAAUUUAAUGUAGAAAUGUUUUCUGAAUUAAAAAAAGAAAAUACAUAUUUGUGCUUAUUUAUGUAACUAAACACAUAAAUUAUUUUGUUACCUACUUAUUGAGAUAUAGGAAUGCUUUUUUCUUACGAAAUUAUUGCGAUCUCCUCCUCUAAUUUAUUUGUUUUUUAUUUUCCCAUAAAAAUAAAUUUUGAAUAGAAUAUUCACUAUCAUUAGUGCGUAUGGGUUACAAAAGAUUAUAUUUUUCAUGUAGGAUAUUAUGUUACCUUAAUUUAGUCUAUUUUCGUAUCAGAUUUCUUGUAUAAAUAUGAGUUUCUUGUACAUGUAACUCUCAAUUCAACAAUAAAAUAAUCUCUCUCCCUAGUAUUGUAAUAGUAGUAAGAUAUAUUCAUAUAUAUAUAUAUUAACUAUAUUUGAUCUUGACCAUCCAUUUAGAUCCUAAUAUAACCGUUCAUAUUUAUGUAAGCAUAAAAUUAAUUCGGUUCGACUAUUAUGAGGAAAAUCAAACGCGAAUAGAUCUUGAAUUCAAUAUAUCCAAUAUAAUUAUUCUACAAUAAUUAAUGGAGUAGAUCAUACCUUUAUUAGCCUCUGAUCAUGUGAAUACCCCUUAUUGAUUGCGUUAAUUUCUUGGCUCACCUUCUGCCUUCUCUGUACUCUAACUUUAAAGGAUAACCAAAAUUCUAUAAUGAUGGAAAAAAAUAAUAAUACGUUCAAAGGGUGGUAUCCUGUCCUUUUUGAUAGAGGAGAGAAGGAAGUAAGAGCCUAAUUAAAAGUAUACUCCUAAAAGGAUUUUCAUAUACAUCAACGGUUAUUCCUUAUCAUAAAGGAGUUUUUCAUUUAAAUAUAAUAGCUUGAAACCUUAUCUUAAUUGGCCUAAUUAUAUGGAAGUUUACUAUACCAAUAUGCCACAAAACAUGGGACUAGUGGGCCACUACUAUAGGGAAAUAACCAAUUUAAUAUAAACAACAAAAAAAAAAAUCUAAUCUGCUGGCAUAAACAUUGCACACAACCACCACGGGGGAGGGACAAAGUUUGCACGGAAUUGACUGAUGAAACCGACGGUUUGAAUCAAUUUUGAUUGAUUUUGAUCCACUAAAAUACCAAACUUAAAUUGAUCGGUUUUUUAAAUAUUUCGACAGGAAUGACGACCGAACCGAUAUUCACCCCUAAUGAGAACUGCACAAUAUCAAAACAAAAAAUCCAUCUAAUAAAGAACCCCAAAGGGGUAAUUUGUUUUGGUUUAUACUUUAUAUAACUAUUUUAGUUUUCGAAUGUUUUUACUUUAGUAAAAAAAAAUUCUAUUUAAUUAAAAUUUUCUACGUUUAUAAACUUCUCUUAAGAGAAGUUCUGAAAAUAUUUUUUUUAAUUGAACUAAAUUAUUAAACAUAAAAAUCAAAAAUAAUUUUUUUUUCAUUAAUAUUAAAAAGAUUCACCAAAAAACGAAAGAACUCACCAAAAAAAAAAAAAAAAAAAAAAAAAAAAAAAAAAAAUAUAUAAAUCCCCCACCUAAAAUUGCAAAACAUGGCCCUACAUCUUUUCCAAUCAGAGCGAUCUAAAUAAAGGCCCAGGGGGUCAGUUGCUCCCCCUCAGUUUGGAAUUUGUUUUUUUUUUUGCCUUAAUUUAAAAAAAAAAAUUUAAUUUGACCCCCUUAAAAUUAUAAAUGGGCCUCCUCUCAAAAAAUUUCAACGGCUGUCCUCCUGAAGUUUUUUCUGGCCCCCCACUGUUUCCAUCAUGGUCCAUAAUAGCUACACAAAGCGCCUUCUUUACGCAAGUCGUUUUAGACAGCGGAGAAAUGGUCCAAGGGUACUAGGAUCCCCACGAUUUCAUGAAAUCUUUCUAAAGAACACACAAAGUCCCAUCAAUUCGACAAACCGCAUAAUGAUAAUAGCUUGAAAGAACUCCGUAAUUGUUGGCAAUUCACUUGGCAGAGGUGGUGAAUUCUUGGCCGAAGCCAAUUAAAAAAAAAAAAAAAAAAAAAAAAAAAAAAAAAAAAAAAAAAAAAAAAAAAAAAAAAAAAAAAGAAAAAAAAAAAAAAAAAAAACAAAAAAAAAAAAAAAAAAAAAAAAAAAAAAAAAAAAAAAAAAAAAAAACAAACAAAAAAAAAAAAUAUUCUGUCUUUUACCGUAUCGUAUUAUAUAAUUAUUACUUUUAUUAAUAAAUUUAAUGCGUUAAAAAUAUAAAUUAAUUAUUUAAAAUUUGAUCAUAACAACAUAUUGCGCCUUGUGCUCCAAAAAUAGUUGUCUAUCUGAGCUUAUUACCAUGCUCGUGCAGUGCAGUACCCAUUAUAAAUGUGUCGUAUCAAUGAUUAACUUGUUUGUUCCCUGAUCUCACGAUGUUUGAUACCUCAUAUGUAUUGCAAUUAAUGUUUUGAAAAUCAGAUCGUUGAGCGAAUCGAGGUCAUGGUUCCAUUGUCGUGGUCACCCGUUAUUGACCCUUGAUAUCAUAAUUAAUGUCAUUAAUUUAUUUAUGAAUAGUAAUAAAUAUCUUUUCUUUUGUACACUAGUUUUUAAUACUUAAAAUCUAAAAGUUUUAAAAAUUAAAAUAUAAAAUUUUUCUUAAAUAAUGAACCGGAAAACUUCCCAUGACCGGUUAAUUGCCGGGAUUCGCAGUUCAACCGCGGUUCUACUGGUUUUGAUCGGAUUUUUAACCAAAACGAGUUUAAAGGCUGAUCGGACCGUUUCUUCAACUGAUCGACGGUUCAACUGAUUCAACUUUCCGGUUCAGCCAGGAUUUUAAAACAUUGAUUGCAAAGCAUGGUUUUAAAACCCAAAUUGACUCAGCCGGUUCGACCAUUUGAACCGUCGAUCGGUCGAAGAAACGGUCCGGUCGGCCGUCAAAAUCCGCUUUGGUCAAACUCCGGUUAAAUUCGGUCAAACCCGCGGUUGAAUCGGAAAUCCAACGAUUGAACCGGUCAUUGAACCGGCCGAUUCACUGUUUUAAGAAAAAUUUUAUGUUUUAAUUUAAAAUUUUGAGGGUUUAAGUAUAAAAUUUAGUGUAAAAAAAUAUUAUUAUUAAUAAAUAAAUUAAAUGACAUAAUUAUACCAUUACGGGUCAAUAACGAUUGAUCCGAUAUUUGAACUAGUGACCCGUGACUUAAUUUUUUUUCCGAUUCGCUUAACGAUCCGAAUUUCGAAACACGGUUGCAAUGCCCUUCAUGCAUUGUCCUAAUUCCAAACAAAGCACUCUCUCUCUCAACCAAUUAAUGUUUUCCAACGAAUUCAAAUUGGUUGCGGGUGCUACUAAAUAUCAAAAGAAAAUUUCUACUCUCCUGAUAUUAAAGGUAAAAAUAUUCUCUAAAUUUAAAAAAAGAGGAGACAUUUUUGUUUGAUUAUGUAACUUAACACAAUUAAAUAAAUUUGAACAAUUGAUUCUGAUUUUAAAAAAAAAAUCUUAGUAUAAACUGGAGAACCAAAAAAAUAAAUCUACCGUAAUAAUAGUGCAUAAUAUCCCGCGCCUUGACACCCGAGUCUUCUGUUGCGGUGAAAUUUCCUAGAAACCCAAUCGGUCACUUCAUAUGGUCAUAAGUCAAUGAAUUGACCCAAACCUGACAAUAGACAUUAAUUAAUUCUAAAUGCACGGUUCU
rnacentral:lncRNA from 1 species